rnacentral:lncRNA from 1 species
AAAAAUUCUGAAUGCCUCGGGAUUCCAGCUUUGCAGAUCCAUCAUGACUCAAAGUUUUUCUUCCCGGCCAGUCAGCAAUCAUUUCGAGAAUGCAGCAGUCUCUAUGUUCGGCAGUUCUAACUGUAACCAUGCUUUCUAGCAAUUUGUAAAGGACAGAUGGUAAUGGGCCAGAAACUUUCCAGCAUCCUUUAAAGAUUGAUGCUACCUUAGCUGCCUUCCCUGUUUCCCACUACAGAAACCAAUUUUAGUGACAAGUUGCACAUUGCAAACAUUACGCAUACCAAGUAAUUUCAGAACAUUUGGUUGCAGACUGUCUAGGGUAAGUAACAUCAAUUUUUAAAUUUUCAUUUUUUUCAUCUUUCACAAGGUUCCUUAAGAUGUGUGCCUGUGCACAUGCGCAUGACUGUGUCUCCUCCGUGCAGAGGUCCUCCUCCCAGCGUGUCCGUUUUCAGUUCCUUUGGUUCUGGUUGUGAUGGGAGGGCUGUGGAGUGUGUGCGAGGGGCAGAACCUCACCCAGCAGGGGAGAAAAUUAAAGGAUACAUUCAUCUCUCAUCAAAGUUCUCUCUACCAUUGGCUUCUGAGAAACUCAGUAAUACAGAUUCAAUGCCAUCAAGGCAAUGAUGUUCAGGAUGAGGAUUCUACUGUGAACAGAAUUCGUGUUCAUUGCAGUAAUGGGGCAGUCAUCACAUCCUCAGCAGGGGGGCAAGUAUUAAAUUCCUAUAUAGUUCAGAAUUUUAUUCUCACCUUUAAUAAAUAUUUUUAUCCCCAGCAGUAUCCCAAGCACUUUGUUUUCCACAGCCCCUGUUCAUAUGCUUUUGUUAGCACGAAGCAAAGUGAGGAAGAAGAACAAAAGUGUUAUUCAUAAUUGAAUCAUUAGAGUCAUAAUCACAAAUAAUGUACAGAUUAUCAGGUAGGAUUUUUUAAAUACUUAUUUUCAACUCCAGAUGUAACUAAGCCAAGUAGGGGCCUCCAAACACUCAUAUGAAGUACAAGGGGAGUAUGAAUAAGCCGGUUGUUCUCAACAUUGAGUACCACCAUGCUUGAAACAAAAGUCCAAUUUUCCCCAGAAGGGUGUUUGUAUAUUUACAUACACCCUUUAUUGCUAUUAC